CGGUUGAUCCUGCCAGUAGUCAUACGCUCACAUAAAAGAUUAAGCCAUGCAAGUGCCAGUACAAACGACUCUGUACAGUGAAACUGCGAAUGGCUCAUUAAAUCAGUUAUAGUUUACUUGAUAGUCCCUUCUACAUGGAAUAACUGUGGAAAAGCUAGAGCUAAUACAUGCAUUAAAGCUCGACUUCUGGAAGAGCUGUAUUGAUUAGAUUAAAACCAACGGUAGCAAUACCUUCUUUGGUGAUUCAUAGUCACUCUACGAAUCGCACGUCCUUGCGACAGGCGAUGUUUCAUUCAAAUUUCUGCCCUAUCAACUAGAUUGUAGUGUAUUGGACUACAAUGGUUAUAACGGGUAACGGGGAAUUAGGGUUCGGUUCCGGAGAGGGAGCCUGAGAAAUGGCUACCACAUCCAAGGAAGGCAGCAGGCGCGCAAAUUACCCAAUGCCGACUAGGCGAGGUAGUGACAAUACAUAACGAUACAGGGCAUUUUUUGUCUUGUAAUUGGAAUGAGUACAAUUUAAACACCUUAACGAGGAACAAUUGGAGGACAAGUCUGGUGCCAGCACCUGCGGUAAUUCCAGCUCCAAUAGCGUAUAUUAAAGUUGUUGCAAUAAAAACGCGCGUAGUUGAAUUUGGGGUCUGUUUGUUCGGUUCAAUGAAUUUUGAUACUGACAAAUCGACUCUUACUUUCUGCCAAUUUCGUCUGCGCUUCACCGCGUGGGCGAAAGAGUCAGAACUUUUACUUUGAGAAAAUUAGAGUGUUUAAAGCAGGCAAUCGCUUGAAUACAUUAGCAUGGAAUGAUGGAAUAGGACUUUGGUUCUGUUUUGUUGGCUUCUAGGACCGAGGUAAUGAUUAAUAGGGACAGUUGGGGGCAUUAGUAUUCCGGAGUCAGAGGUGAAAUUCUUGGAUUUCCGGAAGACUAACUGCUGCGAAAGCAUUUGCCAAGGAUGUUUUCAUUAACCAAGCACGAAAGUCAGGGGAUCAAAAAUGAUUAGAUACCGUUGUAGUCUUGACCAUAAACUAUGCCGACUCGGGAUCGAAGCGAUGUGUUUUUAGCACGCUCCGGCACCGUAUGAGAUAUCAAAGUUUUUGGGUUUUGGGGGGAGUACGAUUGCAAGGUUGAAACUUAAAGAAAUUGACGGAAGAGCACCACCAGACGUGGAAUCUGCGGCUUAAUUUGACUCAACACGGGAAAACUUACCAGGUCCAGACUUAAGAAGGAUUGACAGAUUGAGAGCUCUUUCUUGAUUUUAAGGUUGGUGGUGCAUGGCCGUUCUUAGUUGGUGGAGUGAUUUGUCUGCUUAAUUGCGAUAACGAACGAGACCUUUUCCUGCAAAAUAGCCUGCUUCAUCAUCGAUGUAGCAGCCUUCUUUGAGGGACUUUUGACGUUUAGUCAUAGGAAGCUUGAGGCUAUAACAGGUCUGUGAUGCCCUUAGAUGUUCUGGGCCGCACGCGCGUUACACUGAUGAAGUCAGCGAGUUCAUUCCUUGGCUGAAAAGCCCGGGUAAUCUUUUGAAACUUCAUCGUGCUGGGGAUAGAGCAUUGCAAUUAUUGCUCUUCAACGAGGAAUGUCUAGUAAGCGCAAGUCAUCAACUUGCGUUGAUUACGUCCCUGCUCUUUGUACACACCGCCCGUCGCUACUACCGAUUGAAUGGCUUAGUGAGGCCUUGGGAUUGUCUGGCUGAUCGGCAACGAACGUGUCAGACGAGAACUUGGUCAAACUUGGUCAUUUAGAGGAAGUAAAAGUCGUAACAAGGUAACC
rnacentral:rRNA from 1 species